rnacentral:pre_miRNA from 1 species
UGUUGAAAAUUGAUUAAAAAAAAGUUGAAAAGUCAAAUUCAAAGACAUCAUUUGAAUUCAAAUGGGAGGUGGCCGAGAACUUUGAAAAGUAAUUGGAAGUGGCCAAAACUAUUUUGAAUGUUGAAUGGUGGCUAUUGAAUGUUGAAA